GAUUAACACUGACGGUAUGCCUAAUACAUGCAAGUCGAGCGCGAAGUUUACUUCGAGCGGCGAACGGGUGAGUAACAUGUACCUAACUUACCUUUAAGUUUGGAAUAACAGUCUGAAAAGAUUGCUAAUGCCAAAUAAUAUUGAUAAACAUAUGUUUGUUAAUUAAAGGGGCUUCAUAGCUUCGCUUUUAGAUAGGGGUGCACAGUAUUAGCUAGUUGGUAAGAUAAAAGCUUACCAAGGCAACAAUGCUUAGCCGGCCUGAGAGGGUGAACGGCCACAAUGGGAUUGAGAUACGGCCCAUACUCCUACGGGAGGCAGCAGUAGGGAAUCUUUCACAAUGGACGAAAGUCUGAUGAAGCAAUACCGUGUGCGGGAUGACGGCCUUAGGGUUGUAAACCGCUGUGGAAAGGGAGGAACAGUUCGGAGAGGAAAUGCUCUGAAUAUGACAGUACCUUUUUAGAAAGUCACUGCAAACUACGUGCCAGCCGACGCCGGUACCGUAACCUACCGUAGACGUACGU
rnacentral:rRNA from 1 species